rnacentral:rRNA from 1 species
CCUGGCUCAGGAUGAACGCUAGCUACAGGCUUAACACAUGCAAGUCGAGGGGCAGCAUGGUCUUAGCUUGCUAAGGCCGAUGGCGACCGGCGCACGGGUGAGUAACACGUAUCCAACCUGCCGUCUACUCUUGGACAGCCUUCUGAAAGGAAGAUUAAUACAAGAUGGCAUCAUGAGUCCGCAUGUUCACAUGAUUAAAGGUAUUCCGGUAGACGAUGGGGAUGCGUUCCAUUAGAUAGUAGGCGGGGUAACGGCCCACCUAGUCUUCGAUGGAUAGGGGUUCUGAGAGGAAGGUCCCCCACAUUGGAACUGAGACACGGUCCAAACUCCUACGGGAGGCAGCAGUGAGGAAUAUUGGUCAAUGGGCGAGAGCCUGAACCAGCCAAGUAGCGUGAAGGAUGACUGCCCUAUGGGUUGUAAACUUCUUUUAUAAAGGAAUAAAGUCGGGUAUGGAUACCCGUUUGCAUGUACUUUAUGAAUAAGGAUCGGCUAACUCCGUGCCAGCAGCCGCGGUAAUACGGAGGAUCCGAGCGUUAUCCGGAUUUAUUGGGUUUAAAGGGAGCGUAGAUGGAUGUUUAAGUCAGUUGUGAAAGUUUGCGGCUCAACCGUAAAAUUGCAGUUGAUACUGGAUAUCUUGAGUGCAGUGAGGGCAGGCGGAAUUCGUGGUGUAGCGGUGAAAUGCUUAGAUAUCACGAAGAACUCCGAUUGCGAAGGCAGCCUGCUAAGCUGCAACUGACAUUGAGGCUCGAAAGUGUGGGUAUCAAACAGGAUUAGAUACCCUGGUAGUCCACACGGUAAACGAUGAAUACUCGCUGUUUGCGAUAUACUGCAAGCGGCCAAGCGAAAGCGUUAAGUAUUCCACCUGGGGAGUACGCCGGCAACGGUGAAACUCAAAGGAAUUGACGGGGGCCCGCACAAGCGGAGGAACAUGUGGUUUAAUUCGAUGAUACGCGAGGAACCUUACCCGGGCUUAAAUUGCAGAUGAAUUACGGUGAAAGCCGUAAGCCGCAAGGCAUCUGUGAAGGUGCUGCAUGGUUGUCGUCAGCUCGUGCCGUGAGGUGUCGGCUUAAGUGCCAUAACGAGCGCAACCCUUGUUGUCAGUUACUAACAGGUUCCGCUGAGGACUCUGACAAGACUGCCAUCGUAAGAUGUGAGGAAGGUGGGGAUGACGUCAAAUCAGCACGGCCCUUACGUCCGGGGCUACACACGUGUUACAAUGGGGGGUACAGAGGGCCGCUACCACGCGAGUGGAUGCCAAUCCCCAAAACCUCUCUCAGUUCGGACUGGAGUCUGCAACCCGACUCCACGAAGCUGGAUUCGCUAGUAAUCGCGCAUCAGCCACGGCGCGGUGAAUACGUUCCCGGGCCUUGUACACACCGCCC